rnacentral:rRNA from 1 species
UACAGAGGUGGCAAGCGUUGUUCGGAAUUACUGGGCGUAAAGGGCGCGUAGGCGGCCUUAUAAGUCUCGUGUGAAAGCCCUCGGCUUAACUGAGGAUCUGCACGGGAUACUGUAGGGCUCGAGUUCGGGAGAGGAAAGCGGAAUUCCGGGUGUAGCGGUGAAAUGCGUAGAUAUCCGGAGGAACACCAGUGGCGAAGGCGGCUUUCUGGACCGACACUGACGCUGAGGCGCGAAAGCUAGGGGAGCAAACGGG